rnacentral:rRNA from 1 species
UACGGAGGGGGCGAGCGUUAUUCGGAAUUAUUGGGCGUAAAGGGCGCGUAGGCGGCUGUACAAGUCAAAGGUGAGAUCCCUCGGCUCAACUGAGGAACUGCCUUUGAAACUGUACGGCUUGAGGCCGGGAGGGGGUAGCGGAAUUCCCAGUGUAGCGGUGAAAUGCGUAGAUACUGGGAGGAACACCAGUGGCGAAGGCGGCUACCUGGACCGGUUCUGACGCUGAGGCGCGAAAGCGUGGGUAGCAAACAGG